rnacentral:rRNA from 1 species
GACGAACGCUGGCGGCGUGCUUAAUACAUGCAAGUCGAACGAUGAAGCCCAGCUUGCUGGGUGGAUUAGUGGCGAACGGGUGAGUAACACGUGGGCAACCUGCCCCAAACUCUGGGAUAACUCCUCGAAAGAGGUGCUAAUACCGGAUACGAACUAGACAGACAUCUGUACUAGUUGGAAAGUUUUUCGGUUUGGGAUGGGCCCGCGGCCUAUCAGCUUGUUGGUGAGGUAACGGCUCACCAAGGCUACGACGGGUAACCGGCCUGAGAGGGCGACAGGUCACACUGGGACUGAGACACGGCCCAGACUCCUACGGGAGGCAGCAGUGGGGAAUAUUGCGCAAUGGGCGAAAGCCUGACGCAGCGACGCCGCGUGAGGGAUGAAGGUCUUCGGAUCGUAAACCUCUUUCAGUAGGGACGAAGCGAAAGUGACGGUACCUAAAGAAGAAGCACCGGCUAACUACGUGCCAGCAGCCGCGGUAA